GCCGGGCGCGGUGGCUCACGCCUGUCAUCCCAGUGGCUGGGGAGGCUGAGGCAGGAGGAUCGCAAGUUGGAGGCCAGCUUCAACAACUUAGCCCUGAGCGACUCAGCGAGACCCUGUCUCUA
rnacentral:sRNA from 1 species